AAGAAUACAAUCGUUGGCGGUAC
rnacentral:siRNA from 1 species